UGCAUGGUAAUUUUAUUUUAUUGAAAUAAUUUGUGUAAAUUUAUCUACAAAAACGCAAAGUUAUGCAAUUGUUGCGCUUCGCGUUAAUUUAAAAAUGUUGCGUAUUUGCUUAAACAUGUUAUGCAAAUUACUUAACAAAAACGAUAUUUAAUUUUGAUUUAAAAACGCGGGAAAUAAAUAUAGAUUACUCUUAUGAUAUACUUACUCCAUAUACUAAAUAAAGCUAUUUACUACCGAUUUAAUCAUGUCAGGGAAAAGUAAGAAAAAAGUUGACACACAUUUUUUGGUAAGGGAAUCCAGGUCAUCCUUACCAAAAGACAAGUUUGCUACAAAGCAAGAGGUUUUGCAAUACUUCUUGCAUUUAAAGGAGAAGUACCCAAAACAAAAAGAAAGUAGAAUUAUCCACUGUCCAUUGACAAAAAAUCUUGAAAUCAGCUGCCAUAAUGAAAAACAUAUUUGCUGCACUCUUUCAAAGUUAAUUACACCUUGGUUGAAGGGUGGAUUUCAGAUUUUACAAUUACAGACAAUUAGUAUAAAGAUAGAGAAGCUGAUCCAAACCUGGAAACUGUUAAAAAAAAACAAAGCAAGACAAACUUUAUCAGAGAUUGAAAAAAGGAUGAGGUUUUUAACUCAGAUGAAAAGUAUCUUUUGGAUUGCACCUGAGCUUGAUACUCUGGUUGCAAUCAUUAAAGCUGAUAGGAAACGAAAGGAUCAAGACAAGACUGAAGAUAUUGCAUUUUUAUUAGACCAAUUAGGAGAUAGAAAAACUAGAAUAGGUGGAAUCGAUACAAGGUACCUUUACUCUGUAAACAGGAGUUUAUCCAAAAUUAAAAGAAAAUCAAAUUUGCAUGAAACCAUGUCAGAGAGUGAAUUCAGCUCAAAUGGAUCGGAGAAAGAUGAAGGUAAUGAUGAUUUUUCAUACCCAGAUCCAGAGUUAAAGAAAAAAGUCAAAAAAACUAAUACUGUUAUGCUUCCAAAAGAUAUUCUCAAGAGAACUGCUGAUACUGCUGUUGGGGAAGGAAUAAGUCAUAGGCAGCAUGCUUCCAUGAUUAAUAGUAUAAUCGCGAAAUCGGGUGGAAAUGUAGCUGAAUUUAAAUCUUCAACCUCUACAGCAUUACGCGCUGCAGAUAAGGUCAUUCAUGAUGAAUCAAAGAGGAUCAAGGAUGAUUUAAGAAGUUUAAGAAAAAUCAAUAAGAACAUUUUAGUUCAACUCCAUUUUGAUGGAAAAGUAUGUCAUGAAUAUACUGAUGGGAAAAAAUUGGAACAAGAUCGAUUAGCAAUAUUAAUAAACGCUAACAAAGAAACGCACCUGUUGGGAAUUCCACCCAUUUCUUCUGGAACUGGCAAAAAUCAAAAAAAUGCAAUCAGAGAUAUCUUAAAUAGCUUUAACCUUACAGACAAUAUACAAGCUGUAACAUUUGAUACUAGCAGAAUCAACGCUGGAAAAAAAAAUGGAGCUGUAUCUUUACUGGUAAAUGAAGUCUUUCAACGACCAGUUCUAUCUAUUGCAUGCCGACAUUAUGUCAAUGAGCUACACAUAACACAUUACUGGAAAAAUUAUCAAAGUAGCAUUACUUCUGGACCAGAUAAUCUGCUUUUUAAAACUUUAAAAUCAGCAUGGAAUGAUCUUGACGCAGACAACCAGGUUUUGAGAAGAUUGACUAUUCCAGAGGAAACAUGGUUGGUCAUCAAAAGCAUGAAAGCAUAACGUUCUGCAGAAAUAUUAUCGCCAGUGGGUCUCUAAAAAAGGAUGGGGCUACAAGGAAGGACUACAUUGAGCUGGCAGAGCUUACACUUAUGGUGCUUUCUGAAGACAGGUAUCUACUACCUAAAACUCCAACUUAUGAUGGAUGCUAUACCUAGUCUGGAAAAAUGGCUGAAGCAUGAAAUUACUGAAGUGGCAACUUUUGUCUCUGUUUUUUAUACUACCUGGUUUCUCAAAGCUGAACUAUCUGCUGCUGCUCCGAAUCAGGAUAUGAGAGCGCUUUGGCAAAUGAAUAGAUUUAAGGAGUACAAUUUGAUUGGGGCAGAAUCAGUCAUUAAAUCUAUCAAACGCCACACAUGGUUUCUGGACCCUUACCUUAUUGUACUAGCUCUAGCUGAUGAAAAAUGUAAAGAAAGAGGUGAUAUUGCUCAAAAACUAUACAGCUUUGAAUUUCAUAGUAUGGAUGAAUAUCCGUUAGCCCGAAUAAGUGCUAACAUAGAGGUCCUCAAUUCUUUAGACUUCAGUGGACCGAAGCCUCCCAGCUUAGUUCAUUUGGUCACAGAAAAUUCGUGGCUAUUGUUCCUUAUGAUAGGCCAAAGUAAAAGUGACUGUCAAUGGAUGAAAACCCCUCCAGAAUAUUGGACUUGCAACAAUUUCUACUUAAAAUUUCAGGAGGCAGUUUUUAAUCUUUCAGUUGUUAAUGAUUGCUCGGAAAGAAUCGUUAAACUCAUAAAAGACAAAAUUGAUAUUGCCCGAAAAGAAGAGAAAAGACAGGAUUCACUUUUAUUUUUGCAUAAUUACAAAAGGAAGUAUGGAGGAAAAACUAAGAAAUCCAAGAAAAACAAAAAAAUAAACAAUAUAAAAAUAUAACAUAACAUUUUUAAAAAAUAAUUAUAAAUUUUAUAGAAAUUUAAUUAUA
rnacentral:misc_RNA from 1 species